GAAAGGGUUUAGUAAUUGUAAAAUAUUUUUAAAAUAAGCUAAAGAAAGCGUCUAGGAAUGGGAAACUGUGGCAGUUGUGAAAGCUGUUCUAGUACAAAAGAUUGUUCAUCUGGAAAAUGGUACACCUGCAAUAUUGAGCAUUACUUUUGUGAAGAUCAUCAAAACAAAGACUAUUGCCCAAAGCAUCCAGGCUAUGGCAGAAAAACUUAGCAAAUGGCAAAAACCCUUUCUUUUUUAUUUUUGCAUUUUCAUUUUACACAGAACUUUAUUACUUGCAUAGAACUUCUUGUUAACUAUAAUUUAUGUAUUUAGUUUUAUCUCAGACACUUACUUAUUUCCUUCAUAUUUGUGCUGGAUUGUUUUAUAGAGUACCAAUAGCAA